rnacentral:tRNA from 1 species
GGGGCUAUAGCUCAGCUGGGAAGCGCUUGCAUGGCAUGCAAGAGGUCAGCGGUUCGAUCCCGCUUAGCUCCACCA